GAUGGCGGCAAAGGCUAAGGCAGAGGAGGUGGGUGGGGCUGGUCUUGCCCAACGGUUGGGAGUGUAGGCUAGACGACGGCGGCUAGACAAAGAGGUAGUGCCAGGGAGGCAGAGACGGGGGCGCAGACACUGUGGGGUCGGGGUCGGGGUCAGCGGUGAGGGCGCCCGGCCUGUCGGGAACCGCGGGGAAUCACCUGGGCCGUCCGGGAAGAAGCCGAACCGGCCCCGCCUCCAGCCUGUCCUCCGCCGGCUGCGGUGGACGGCGCAGAGGAGCGGCAGCCCCCUGCGGCGGCCGAGGAGCUGGCCGCCCAGAAGCGCGAACAGAGACUGCGCAAAUUCCGGGAGCUGCACCUGAAGCGGGUGAGUCGCCCCAGAGGCCAGCUGAGACCUGUCACGUGGCCAGGCCCGUGCGCGUUUGUGGAGCGACGAGGAAGCCGCACCAGCGCGUGUGACAGACCUGCAGAGCUAGAUGAAAGUUCGGUCCCGGUGGUUCUCAACCUGGAAUCACACUGAAGUCACUUUGAGACUUUUUAAAAGCUAGACAUGCUUAGGCCUCACUUCCAGGGUGUCUGAUUUGAUCAGUUUCUAAACACAGACAUUGGUAUUUUUUUAAGCAUCCUCUCCCUGCACCCUCCUCUCAGCUCAAGUGAUUCUGUCAAACCUUUCUUUUCAUGGAGGGGAAGACCGUGGACCAGAAAUGGAAAGUAACUUGUCUGUUGUCACGCAGCAAGUUGGCGUCAUUCAUCCAAAAACAGCCCCUCGCCUAAUGGCCUCUAGUGUGCUGUAGCCAACUAUCAACAGAUGGUGUGGAUACAGCGGUAAAUAUGAAUGAAGCUCGAAAAUUAAAUCACCAGGAAGUUGUGGAGGAAGAUAAAAGACUUAAAUUACCUGCAAAUUGGGAAGCUAAGAAAGCUCAUUUGGAAUGGGAAUUGCAGGAAAAAGAAAAGAAAAAGAAUGUACAGCAAGAGGGGAAGACUAUAAGAAAGUGAAGUUGCUCGAGAUCAGUGCAGAAGAUGCAGAAAAAUGGGAGAGGAAAAAGAGGAGGAAAAACCCCAAUCUGGGAUUUUCAGUGGAGAGGAGUUCUACCCAACAUCUAACAGUCUUCUUCACGGAACACACGUGCCUUCCACAGAGGAAACUGAUAGGAUGGUCGUAGACUUGGAAAAGCAAAUUGAAAAACGAGACAAAUACAGCCGGAGACGUCCUUAUAAUGAUGAUGCAGAUAUUGACUACAUUAAUGAAAGGAAUGCCAAAUUCAACAAGGCAGAAAGAUUCUAUGGGAAAUAUACAGCUGAAAUUAAACAAAACUUGGAAAGAACAGCUGUCUAAUCUCCUUCAGGACCUGUUCUGCCAAAUUGUACCAGUAAAUCAGGACUCUU